UUCAAUCUGUGUCGGGCUGAUAAAAUGAAUAUGUGUAUCAAUUCCUCCGGCAGUCAGAAUUAAUCCUUCUCCGGCAAUUGCCUCAGUAGAAGCUCCAAAUACAAGCGAAGGUGUAACAUUGUCCAUAAUGUCAGGAUUUCCGGAUUUGCCUAUUCCGCAUAUUUUUCCGUCCUUAAUACCAAUAUCCGCCUUGUAUAUUCCUGUAUAGUCAAUAACAAGUGCAUUUGUUAUAAUGGUAUCCGGACAUUCGCUGUCAGGUACAGAGCAGGAUUGUCCCAUUCCGUCACG
rnacentral:sRNA from 1 species